AACUGAAUUCGAUUAGCUACUGAAACGUGUCAGUUUCUGUAAGGAACUUUUCAAGGACCUUCCAGCUAACUUGCUAUCGGUACGAGGAUGAAAGCGAUUCGACGAGAAGUGAUAACAUUGAAGAUUGUCCAGGAAAUCAGCAAAAACUAUAAAUACACGGGUCCGAAAAGUUAUAACAAUGAGGUAGAAGACUCGUGAAUCCAAACUCUGAUCGUCUACGGAGUGAGCUUCACCAAAACGCGAGUGAAAAAUCCACGACUGCACUACCAAAGCUCCACAGCUGGGGAUUAAAAACGAAAAUUGGAACGAGGAGUUGUCCAGAGUUUCGAAUUUCAGUGAUCGCCCGGCGAAUUUUUCAUUUCUUCGAAUGUCUGUAACAAGUGCAACAAUGAGUGAAAAAGGCUCGUUGAAGGACGUGACUCAUCGACUGUCACCACGACUGACCACGGACAUUUCGUCAAUCAUCAAGGGAAUAAACCUUUCCAACCAAUUGGCAUGCAUUCCCGAAUUCGACGGUAGGACGCCGCCCUUUGAGGACUUUUUAGAGACACUUAACAAGGUAUCGAUUUUCGUCACUCCCGAUCAGGAGUCCCAAUUUCUGACGGCAAUAUUGGGCCGCUUGCGAGGAGAAGCUCGUCUAUGCGUGGAGAACGAAUCAGUUACUUCAAUCGAGGACUUGAAGAGAAUGUUAAAGGAAGGACUGUCACGUACUCGACCAUACGCAGAUUGCAUCGCUGAUUUAAACAGUUUACGUUUGAAUCCGAAUGAAUCGGUUCGGAGCUUAUACUAUCGUGCAAGAAAACUAUCGAGCAUUGCUAGUAUCGCUUGGAAAUCAGAUUACGGUUUUCCUCACCCUACAUUGCCGCUGAAUAAAAUUGCUGUUCGCAGUUUUACUCUCGCGUUACCCACCCGUCUGGGUGAGCUCAUAUGCUUAGCUGAUCCGGCAACUCUCCGGGAAGCAGUUGAGAAAACCGAAAAACUCUUAGAGUUUCGGGUCAACUCGGACGCUAGGCACCGCCGCGCGGCGGACUACCGUAGAUCGGCGAAACUUCGCACAUUUUAAACUUUUCAAUCGUCCUGAUCAACAUCGUUUUCGCGUAACAUUCUCUUGGGGAGUUGAUAAAGAAAAAUAAUGUUUACUGCAGAAAAAAGCUCUUAAAAAAAACUGAAGAUCAGGCGAAAAUUCUUAUAUAAUUCUGAAAGAGGAACUCGACGAAAAAAUUUCGUAUUCAAUCAGAUCGUCAACUAAUUAAAAUUACUUUUUCCUUCGCACCAGUGAAAGAUUCCGCAAAAAAGUUGAUAAAAUUUAUUUAGAUUAGUGCACUUUGAAAGGCAGUUUAGCGAUCCUAUCUGUUGAUUUUCUAUUUUCCAUGAAAUUUGGUGACAAAUUGUCAUCUAAUUUUACUUCAUGAUUGAUGCAAAAACAAGAAAAAAUGGUGACCAAAUGGCACCAUAACGCGAACGAUAGCGCACUUGCAUUAUAAUUAUUAUUGUUGCAGUAAUUAAAAACACGAAUGUAUCCGCAGCAUUGAGUCACGUAGCAUUGCCAUGGAUGAAUCAUUUUUUUGAAAAUCUCAUUUGAAUUUGAACAUAUGACGUGGGCCUCGUUCUCCACAAAGUAAAAAAUUAACCUUUUGAAAUCUUCAUCUCGGAAUUCAUAAGACCAUUGAAAAAUUUCUGUAAAGAGAUUAACAAACCUCAUUUCUUCGACAUUAAUUGGAAUAAAAAAAAAUCUAGUUAUGAGUUUCGGAACUUUACUCAAAGUGAAUUGAUUAACGCAACAUCCAUUUGCACAAAAGCAGUUGAUCGUUUCUGAAAAACAAUAACAAUCAGUUUGAUAUUUCAAAGUUUAAUCAUAAUUUAAUAUUGAGUAAAUGUGUAAACAGGUGCUUCGUAAGUUUUUAUAUGAUUAAAAAUUGUGAAACAAAUCGAAAAUAAUAGAAAUUGUUUGUUGGACUUUGCGGAAUCUGUGUAAAAUAUAAUUGGAGUUCAAAGUUGAAA